GAGGAGUCAGAUGUCUGCUGCAAGGACCAAGAACAGUCAGUGCUUAGAGGAGCCGCCUAUGAGAAACAUCGAGGAGGUAUGAAAAUCUGGUGCUAUGGAAUCCUUGCACUACAAUGGCACUGCUGAGCUGAUAAACAAGGCCACGGAGCUGGGAAAGCACCAGAGAGGAAAUCCCAUGAAGGAAUAAAUUACAGUGACACCUACUAGUGUUGGUACUGCUAAAGGCUUCUGCUGGAAUGCAAAGUUCCUAGCUCAAGAUCAAUUAUCCAAGGACAUAAAGAAGAAAAAGACAGUCACAGUAUUUGUCUGCUUCUCAAACUACCCAAGAUGUGAAACUGGUUUUGCUUGCGGUGACAUGCCUGAGGUUCCUUGACUCAUGAGUUUGGCCUAUGAGACAGGACAUCCUGUGUGAUUUCAGCAAGUCCAUAUGGUUCUCCAGAGCUUUUCCCAAGAAUGUUUGCCAUGAUGAAAAUUCCAGUAUCCUGAUGUCAGGCAGGAAGAUCCAAGGUUUCUGGGAAGUGCAGAGGCUGCAGCCCCUCUCCUCUGCCUUCCCUUGCCCCCCUGCAGCACCAUGUGUUUCCCUGCUCCU